rnacentral:misc_RNA from 1 species
UAUCUACAUGUUUUUGUUGUUUUAAUAGAAUUAUCCAAAGUUACAUUUUAAGAGAAGAGUCAGGAGCACUAGUUCCACAAACCAUGGAUCAAAACAAGAUAGAGCUAUCAAAAAGAGGAGGUAUCAUGGCAUCUGUUUAUAGUUCCCAUCCUUCUGAUUCCCACAUGACGUUGGAUCUAUCCUUGGAAAUAAACCAGAAACUACAAGCUGUUCUGGAAGACACCUUACUCAAGAACAUUACUUUGAAGGAAAACAUCAAUACCUUGGGUGAGGAAAUAGCUCGAAUGUCCAAGGAAUACCGAGAGCUCCAGGGCCAAGUCCAACGAAACAAGAUUUCAACUAAAUGACCUGCUCUCUAAUCUCCGCUUCAAUUCUUCCAGUUCAAUUGUGAUGAAUAAAUGUAUUUUUGUAUAUUAAAUUUGGCCUUAUUGUUUUGUCCUUUCCUAUCAAGUACAGUUAGUGUAGUCGUAAAGUUGUACAUUAUUAGUGUCUUUAUGAUUAACAAAGACUUCUGCCUCAGUGUAUAAUUUACAAUUAUAGUAUAAGAACAUAGUAUGCUUCUAAAUGUAUUUAUAAUUAUGUUAAAGUAUAUUAUAAAAGUAUAAAUGCUUGGACUACACUGUAAUCUUCUUGAUGCUGCUUCAUGCUUUGUAUCAUAUUAAGCACGUUUCUUACCAUACAAAUCAGUAUUGAAAUAUACUAGUUGUAUCAGCCUUUCUUCAUUUUUGCCACAACCGUUAAACCCCCAUCCAGUUUGUUAACAGUAAAACUGUGGAAAAUUGCUGUGUGGGUCUUUAGCUUUUUUCUUAACCGUAGAAACAGACAUUAAUUAUAGAUAAUUUUAUUUCAAAAGACAGCCACAUAAUUUUAAGAUAAAUGAAGUCAAUUAAUUUAUGAAUACGAAAUUGAGGAAAAACAAGACAUUUCACAAGUACGUUAUUUAUUCACGACCAUGGUUUCACCAGUAGAGGCAUCAUCAUGGUGAAACCAUGGUCGCGAUUGAAUGGUUUUUUCCUCGGUUUCAUAAUUAUGAAGCUUCACCAUGUACCAACAGUUUAUCAAUUAUGUAAUUUAUGAAUCUUUAGUGUAAAGACUCUUUAAUUGAUAAAAGCUUCAAUACUUUAAUCUUGAUAUUUUCUCAAGCCUGAUGUCAUAUAGAAAAAAUUUUGAAGGAAAUGUAACGAAAUAAGAGAAAAAAUAGCGUACUAACAAUAUUUGAUUUUGUUUUUAUAAUAGCUUGGAAAGAGUGAAUAAAAUAUGUGAACCAGUCGUGUCCGGCUAAAAGAAAGAAUAUAAAGGAAAAUACAAAAGAUGAAAUGUUUAUCUAAUUAACAUUUGUCUCUAGCUGGACAAUGACCGAGUGUCUGAGGCCUUAUACUUAGAUUUCCUUAAAUGCAGUAGUAUGUUUAAAGGUUUAUUUAUUUCCAGGCAAGAUUUCCCUUGACAUUCUGCAAGUUGAACAAUAAACUGCUUUUUGUCGAUUGACUUUUCACCACAUGUAACAAAAUGUACUGUAAUGUGAAUUAUAUUGUGUACAUGUGUAUGUAGGUAUUACAACAGCAUUUGUAAAUUAGUUGUAUUAGCUUAGAUAUUAAAAUGUAUAAUGUUUAAACUCUCACUCCUAGUGUCUUCUUUUCUUUAGAACAUCCUCGUCACUUAUUAUUAUUGUUAGGUUUAAGGUCAAGAUUAGAGACUUGUAUUUUUGUUGGAAGUUAUUUUAUAUAGCAUUUUAUGUAUAUAAUUUCAUAAGAAUUUAUAUUGUAGUGGUAAUUUUUGCAGUUAGUUUCAAUUUGUGUUUUUGAUGAAACAGUUUUUUUGGCUAUUAAAUGUGAUUAAAAAAAAAAACAAGCUUAGAACUCAAUUUAAGCAUUUGGUAGGUGAGUAACAAUAUUUAUAAGUUAUUUUUUAAGUAUUCAUAGAUGUAUAUGACAAAAGCCACAAAUAGAAGUUUUAAAUUUUGAAAGUAUUACAAUCAAAAUUAAAAGUAUGUUAAAGAACCUCAAAAUGUGUCAAAUUGUAAACUAUGUAUUUCAAACCCCAUUGCUUAUAACUUGUGUUAAUUAAAAAGGUUCUAUUUCAUGUAAAGGAUUAAACUGUGUACCCAACAGGCUUUUCCAUACAUUUUAAGAGAUGAAUAAUAUAUGAUAGUCUUCUUUAAAUAAGUGUAGGAUUUUCUUAAUUACACAAAUUUCUUCUGUGUAAAUGAUCAAUAACACAGAAGAAAUUCUGAAAUUAAGGAAAUUCUACUCUUAAUCGAAGGAUAUUUCAAGAUUAUUUAAAGUCACAUUUUAAAUCCAGGGUUAAUACUUCUUGUAACUCAACAUUGAACUUUGCAGCAAACUACUUGUAACAAAAAAAAAAACUGUGAGGAUGAUUUGGUUAAUACAUAAAAAGAUAUAUAGCUUAUUUUUUGUUUUUUCUUAACAAAUUCUACUUUUGUCUGGCAUUUAGUGUUAUUUAUUUGAUAGUCUGUAAUUAUAGGUGGUGAUAUGAUUUGGUUAGUAUUUUAUUUUUUACAAUUAUAUAUAAAGAUUCUUUAAAACUUGGAAAAUGUGUUUCUAAAAGUUACAUUGGCUUUGGACAUAGAACAGGCAAGUGUAUUGUUGUUUUUUUUUAAUGAAAGUUAGUACAUGUAAGUACCUUAAAUGAGAAUGUUUUAUUCUGACAAGAUUACCUUGUAAAGGAUGGAGACUAAAAUAUUUAUUUCCACCUCUGAAUCAGUAGGUUUACACAUUUGUAACAUAGAUGUUUGUUUUCUGUUGUUGUUGUUUUUUGUACUGGAUGUUAAACACUGAUGUUACCUGUCACAGGAAUAAUGGAAUGAUUAUUUCUUCUUCUACCUUUCCUAAAAUACCAAAAGUAUUGGAGGAUAAGAUAUUGUUUUCUGUCACAUUCUUCUACUACUUUUAUCCUCUUUAUCUUUUUUUUUCGAGAAGUAAUUCAUAAAUUUUGUGCCUUAUUUCGAGGUACAGUUUACUACUUUGAUACUUGUACACACUGUAUUUCUGUUAUUUAACACAUGUGUAAUGUAUCCUUGUUAUGUGUAAUUUUGUUGCAAUGAUUGAUACUACCAGGGACACUGUCAGUUAUUGAAACUUUGUUGUGAUAUAAAUAAAGCUCUACUUACUCAUACAUGGACCAA